UGUGUACUCCCUCCGUUCCAAAAUACUUGACUUCCAUUUGUCCAAAAAUGGAUGUACCUAUAUACUAAGACAUGUCUAGAUACAUAUAUAUUUUCACAAAUAGAAGGCAUGUAUUGUGCAACGGAGGGAGUAGAAU
rfam:Triticum aestivum genome assembly, contig: Triticum_aestivum_CS42_TGACv1_scaffold_001545_1AL